rnacentral:lncRNA from 1 species
AAUUUGAGGAUCUUAAAAUUGACAGAAAUGAGGUGAUUGUGGUCAAUUGUAUGAACCGGCUAAAGCACAUGCCUGAUGAGACAGUGAUGGUGAACAGUCCAAGAGACAUUGUCCUAAAGUUGAUCAAGAAAAUUAAUCCAGACCUAUUCAUUCAUGGGGUUGUCAAUGGGACAUACAAUUCACCCUUCUUUGUCACACGGUUCAAAGAGGCACUCUUCCACUUCUCUGCACUGUUUGAUAUGUUUGAGGCCAGUGUUCCUCGUGAAGAUGAACGGCGGCUGCUGUUCGAAAAAGCUGUAUAUGGUAGGGACAUAUUGAAUGUCGUAGCGUGUGAGGGACUGGAAAGAGUUGAAAGGCCUGAGACAUACAAGCAGUGGCAGGUUAGGAAUGUGAGGGCUGGGUUCAAGCAGCUCCCACUAGACCAAGAGCUUUUGAAGAGAGUGAAGAGAAUGUUGAAGUUUAUGGGUUAUCAUAAUGAUUUUAGCAUUGAUGAAGAUGGCCAUUGGAUGCUGCAAGGAUGGAAAGGAAGAAUCACCAGGGCUCUUUCCUUUUGGAAAAAAGCCUAGACCACUAUUAAAAUCUUUAGUCUCUUCGCUCUUGAAUUUUUCCUUUAGUCUUCCUUCCAUUGGCGAAGUUGUGUUUACCGUAUUGUCAUGUUGUAAUGAGUUGAUUGUAAAUUUUAUUCAUUCCAAUGGGAGCUUGAUCUAGGAUUUGUAAUAUUUUGAUCCAAGUUGAAACAGAGCACUAAUUGAUAUGGAUGAUCAAAUGCAGUUUGUUGCACAUACAAUUACACUAUUAGCAGCUAAGAGAAAGCCCCCAUUGGGCUUUAAAGCAGGCUGAACCAUCGUGGGACUCCAACACGUAGCAACCUAAGCCAAAAAUCCAUCCCGAAUAGUCCACUUUUUGGGCUGUAAAUCCCUCAGCCUUCUAGAGGGAUGCAACCACAUACAUAAAUAUAAGAGCACUUCUACCCAUGAUGACAUGGUAAAUGGCAAGGGCAAGGCAGGCAGGCACUAUUCACGUGAAUAGUGCCUGACCUAGCAAUAUUUUUUUGGUUUUUUAACCCAUUGCCAUGGCAACCCAAUGAUAAUUCCUCUUCACAUGAGGCUAAUUUUAUUUUUAUGUAUGAGAUUAAUAAUAAAUAAAAAUGGCUAGGUAUGUAUAAAAAAGGAUUAUGAAUUUUUUGUUAAUUUUUCAGAAUUUACUUUGAUUUUUUUUAUUUAAAAUUAUAAAAAUUUCUUCGUUGAUGUCAGCACCCUUAAGCAACAACUCUGGUUGUUCUUGCCUUCGUGCCUGCCCAGUCUUGGUGGAGCCCACCAUUUGCCGGGGUGGAUUUGUGCGGUGGAGUGGGUUUCUUCAAUCUAGGGGCUAUAUCCUUAAAAUAUUCGUAUAUUUAAACAGUAUAGCCACAGGGCUAUACCCUUAAAAUAUUCGAAUAUAUUUAACGAGUACAGACGCACGCUAUACUCUUUCAAUAUUAAUAUAUUUUCAAAGUGUAUGUUUUACGAUUAGAGUUUCAAUCUUAAUAUACAGUUAGUACGACAUAACCAGACCUAAACCUAGUUAGUUGAGUGUGCCUUGAGGGAGAUUUUAACAAGUGGUUUGUUGUCAGAAGACCUAUUGGUAGUGAUCUCUUUGUUUUGCUUAUUGAUCCAUAUAUGAAUUUGGUUCAACUUCUUCAUUAUGUACCAUUCUCCUGUUACUAUAGGGGUUGCAAUUCCUCCUUAUUUUUCUUUAAAGAGUAUAGCCGCACUAUACAUUUAAAAUAUAUUAAUAUUUAAAGAUAUAUUCAAAUAUUUUAAGAGUAUAGCCGGGCGGCUACACUCGUUAAAUAUAUUAGAAUAUUUUAAUGGUAUAGCUGCACUGCUAUACCUCUAAAAUAUAUUAAUAUUUAAAUGAAUAUUUUGAAAGCAUAACUGCAUGGCUAUACUUUUAAUAUAUAUAUAUAUAUAUAUAUUUAAAGAGUAUAGCCACGAGGGUAUACUCUUUAAAUAUAUACGAAUAUUUUAAAAUUAUAGCCGUUUGGCUAUACUCUUGAAAUAUAUUUGGAUAAUUAUUAUUUAAGUAUUUAAUCAAUUUCAUAAAUUACUUAUUGAUUAUAUUGACUUAUCUUAAAUAAUUUUGUGGACUUUAAAAUUAUUUUUAUUUUCCAAACAUAUUUUUGAAAUAGUUUGAAUUAUUAGAAAUUGUUUUUAGUAUUCCAAAAAUGGAUUUGAUUAAAAGUAUUUUUAAUUUUUGAAUAUAUUUUAAAAAUAGUUUCAAUUAUUAGAAAAUUAUUUUAGUAUUCCAAUAAUAGAUUUGUGACAGACCAUGUUUCCUUCCGACAUUCAACUGAUGCUUGGCCCAUUUACUAAAAUAACCCUCUUCCUUGAACAAUAAUAGAAAAAGGGCUAAGAGUUUUACCCAAAUUUUGACAAAGUCUCCCUUGAAAAACGAAUAAAUCCCAAUAUUUUCCACAUGUAAAAACAACACAUUAAACAUCCCAACUGGUAGCACACACAAUGCUAAAGUACACAGUUCACAAAAUAGGCAUCCGACCUCAAUUUCAACCCUUCAUAGGCAAUAUCAGAGCAAUAUAAGAAAUUCUUUAGUUACACAACCAAAAUAGUUUUCAAAGGAAAUAAACAACAUAAAAGUCCUACUAUUAAAGUGGGAAGCGCGAGAAGAAUGGCUUGGCUUGGAUUCAUUAGUCACGUCAAGCUACAGCCUGGGAGGGCGCAAAGCAGAAAUUGUGAGUGGACAAAAAUAAAGUUUGAAUAGUGAUAAUCGAACAUACUAACCCCACCGUUUUAGAAAAAACGUUGCCAAAUCAUGCAAUGAAAUCCAUUGAAUUUUUAAACCAUAGUAAUCCCAUAAACACGAUAUAGCAUAAUAUAAUAACCAAAUUGGACCUUUUUCCUUUAACCAACCCCUUCCUGAGACAUAUGCUUAUAAAACACAAUAUGCAAAGAAAUAUCCUUAUAAAUAUAUAAGUAUAAAAAAAUAUAUAUGUAAUCACUACACCAUCGACAAGUACUGGGGGAAACAAUCCAACACGGAGACUGUUUUGACUAGACAUAUGGUAGAAAUGCAUUACUCUAUGACUAAGGACGAGCAGUCCAACCGGGGGACUAUUGCUUCCCAGCACACACGGCAAAAUCGCAUUACCGUGAGGCUGAAUCCUUUCAUAGGCGUGCAGACUGCCCCGUUAAGGGUGGCCGGGUCCCGACACCUCAGAAGAGUUACCGCGUGUCAAAUAUAUCCAAGUAUCUAGUAACAAGGGAGGUACAUAUAAUAGUGCAAUCAAUACCCGAUAUGCCAAAACCAAUAUUCCAAAAUCAUAGCCCAACAAAAUGUACCAAUUCCCCCCCCCAAAAAAAAAAAAAAUUUUUAAUUUCCAAUAAUCAUCUCUGAAAUCCAUAUUCUCAAAUUCACAAUAAUCAAUUCCAUACACAUCUCGAUAAAAUCAUAAUCCAAAAUUCAAAAUCCAUAUACUUUAUAACUAACAAUAAAUUAUAGUAAUCCCAUAAGAUACUAUAAAGCCAUAGUUAAAACAUAUAUCAAAUCACAUAAUCCCAAUAAACCAAAUAAACCAAGUUCUAAAUGAAAUCUCAUUUAUACAUGCAAUUUCAUAUUCGAAAAAUAAUGCUAAUUUAAAACAAUGUCCACUCACAACAAGUCCAGAGCUGUCCGACCCUAAGAGGGUCCCUCUUGUGGAGUACGUGGAGCCUGAGUACCUAUUUGAUAUAACAUAGGGAUGUAAUCAAUAAAAGUACCCAACCAUGACUACGAAUUUUGGAUAUGUUGUAUAUUACAGAAUUCUCAACAACUUUUGUCAAGGAACCUUUCUCAUCUGAGCAAGGAAAAUCUACAUGCAAGACAGAAUCCGAGCCUACAUCAACAUAGCAUAUAAGGAUGAAUAGGUUACAUCUCGAUACGUCUUGAGAUGGCUAUACUUCUUGGAUGAAGCUCAACGUUUGACAGAUAAUAGCCACGACAUAGAUAAACAAUUUUUGUGUGUGGAUAAAAUAGGAGGGUGAAAAUCCCAAAAAUAAAAAACAAAGACUACAUUAUAUUUAUCAAGCGGGCUGUAGUAGCCCCCGACGAGUCAUCAAGCAACAGAGGAAGGCUGCAUGCAAGAGUUAAUAAGUUCACACUAGUGUGGAACCAGCGGACAAGAAGUAAGAGAAGACUAGUCUAACCUUGAACACAAUUUAAGGUAGAUAGACUUAUCCAAUUGCCUUCUUUUGGAAAUGUUGUAGCUCUCGACCUCGACAACAACGUUUGUAAAAGAAUAGAGGUGAAACUUGCAAUAGAAACUUGCAUGCAAAGACAAAUCCGUACAUAACACACAGUACCAGGCAGAGAUGAGCUGUUCGUCCUUAAACUGGGUUUUGAAGGUGUUUACAUUUUUUGAUAGGGCUAAUUUUCGGAUAUCUUCUACUAGACAACCAGAUGAACAAAUUUGAAUAAGAAGAUAUUUCGUUUUGGGUUCAGGAGAGAGGGGUUUUGAAGUAUGGAACAAAACUGAAGGGUUUGGAAGCUAUGAUGAGUUUAGGAGAGAAGUCUUUGGGGAAUGGAGAAAACAUGAGCUGGUCAAGACUUUGGUCUAUGGGAACUAUAAAACUGACCAGACUUCGGAACUAAAAGAGGCAGGCGUGGGAUGGUACCUUGGUUUUUAAAUUUUGACUUCUCCAAAAUUAUAAUUAUGAUACUGCACUUCCGUAGAUCACAACUUCCUGGUUAAAAUUCCAAUUUGAGCCCACUACGUGUCUACGAACUUGUGAGAGCGAGCUUUACGCAAUGGUGCAACUUUAACUCCCAAAACUAAUUCUGAACAAAAAGUGACCAAAAAUACCUUACUUCAGGGGGACAAAAAACUGUAAGUUUGCAAAAUAAAAUAAUUAGUCGGGAUGAGGUGUAUAAUUUGACCCUGCAAACCCUAAAUCCGAGAGUCAAACCUUUCGCAAGCCUCAAACCCUAGUAGUUAACAACCACAUUUAUUCGUGUACAUUGUGCUAUUAGGUAUUAAUAGUGCUUUUAGCCACCUUAUCCUAUACCAUGGAUGUCAGGAACUAUAAUGUUGUUUUCUUGUACUGUUAGCAGCAAAUGUUAGUAUUUUUCUGCCUUUGAGCACUGUUGAUCCUUUUAGUCAUAAGAAAAACAGAAUUAAUACCCCCAAUAUAGAACUAAAGUUGCGUUUGGAUGAGGAAAUUUAAAAAUACUAAGGAAUUCAUAAAUGAUGGAAUUUAACAUAACGAAAAUUAAUGUUCUAGAAUUUGGAAAGUUUCUUGAUGAGGAAAUUUAAAAAUACUAAGGAAUUCAUAAAUGAUGGAAUUUAAAAUAACGAAAAUUAAUGUUCUAGAAUUUGGAAAGUUUCUUGAUGACAACUAUUUAGAUAGAAUUUAAAGUUGAGAUUUAUGACCUUCAAAUUCCAUUUUUUUUUUCCCAUACGAAAUUUCUAGAUUUAUUUUUACAUCCAAACACGGGAAUUAGAUUAUGUUAGUUUAGAAAUUAGGACCUUUGUCAAAAUCCCAAGUUUAGUAAGAGCAUCCGCAAUGAACUGCCUAAACCACUUUCUUAGGUAAAAUUUAGGGAGGAAGUGGGAAAACUCACCUCCAAGCAUGCUCCUUAUCCAUCUUCUAAAAUAGGGAGACCUCUAGGAGCUCCUAAAUCUAAGGAGAGAGAAUGAACUCCUAGUGGCUCCCUAUAAUUUAAUGUUCCCUAAUUUAAUAAAUAUUUUAAAUAUUGCCUUUUUUUUUUUUUAUAGAGAUGAACCAUUUAUGUUGAAUUAAAAAAGAAUUAUAGCAUUUAUGAUUCCCUAUACUAGAGAGUAUGAUUGAAGUUGAAAAUUUAUAGAGAGCUCCUAAAAUAGUUUCUUUGUAUUUUUAGCUAAAUUUUAACUAAAAAAAUAAUAUUGGCUCACCACUUUAACCCAAUGUGUACAAUCACCACCCUUCUCAACACUUGACAUGUGUCCAUAGGCCUAACCAUGGUUCUACAAAUACGAAGCAAAUUGUUAACUAUAGUUAUGCUCAUGAACACAUGUUAAGUAUUAAGAAGGAUGAUAAGAGUACACAUGGAUUAAAGUAAUGAGGGUAGAUGCUCUAAUGAGUUUAAAUUAUUUCCCCAAAAAAAAGAAGUGAUGACUUUAAAUUUCCUCCCAUAAAAAAAAGACCAAAUAGCCCCCAAUAUAGAAAGUCUCAUCAAUGUUGUUGUGGAAACCAAUUUUUGUUGUUUAAAAUUGUAAAGUUUGAUAAAUCUCAAAGUUGGAUGAAUCUUUGUCCACUAUGAGACAAUUCUCCAACAUAUCGCUUUAGUAAUAUACCUAAAAUAGGACCUGAAAUUAUAAAAAAACCUUAUAUGGAAUACACUUUAGAAACACAUCCAAAAAUCAUUUACUAUCUAAAAAAUGAGUGUUGAAGUUCCUAUAAAUUAUAUAUCUGCCAUUGAUUAACUUAAAACAAGCCCAAUACAAAAAAUUUUAAAAAAAAGAAAGCAAAAUAGGCCCAGUAAGUCCAACUCUGAUUUGACCACAAAAAAAAAAAAAAAAAGGCCCAGCAAACUUGAAGUACAUUGUUAAUAGCAUGUCAUUGAAGUACAUUAUGAAUACCACGUCAUAAAAAUACUUAUAGAAGUACAAUGUUAAUAUCAUUUCAUAAAAAUACAUUGUUAAUACCAUUUCAUACAAAAAAACUCAAGCAAGACAUCCGAUAUCCUUUGCAAAAACCACCUCCAAUUGUCCACAGUUUCACCAGAAACAAUCGCACAGGCAAAAGGAAAAACCUCUACAAGAAAAAAAAAAAAGUACCCUGUUUAUAUUAUGUCAUAAAACUAUCUUCCUAGUAAAAAUCACAUUAUGCAUAUCAUAAACUUCAAGUGCACAACUAUAUAUAGAGCAAAAUAUAUAGCAUGCUUUGUUACUGAAAAUACGUUAAUACUAUGUCAUAGAAGUACACUGUUAAUACUAUGUCAUAGAAAUCAACUCAGUUGUAGGGUAUGAACAAUAUAACAACUGUUCAUACCACUUACUGGAAGCUAACAACAUCAUUUCAUUCCUGCCACCAUCAGAAUCAGCAUAUUUGUGAGGAGAGAAAGAGCCGCCGAGCAAGACUUCAGAGUAGAAUCCAGCAACAUAUGAAGCUUGAUUUAGAUACAUCAUUAUGUUGGCGGGGGUUCAGGAUAAGAAGCAAGUUUCUCAUCCUCUACAUAGGAGGGGUUCAACAAGUUUUGGUUGCUUAAAUUUUGGAAAUAUGUAGCCAUAGCUUGGUUGGUUGGUUCCUCUGUCUCCAAAGCCAAAGCCUUGAGUUAACCUACGACAAAAUCCAAAUUACCAGUCUUGCUCAUAAACAAAUUACCAUUCUAGAUCAAUCACAGGUUCCUAACAUAGAAAAUAAGAAACCCAUAAAAAAGAAAGCCUAACCAAAAUUACCAAAAGCAAAACCAGCAAAAUGAAAAGGAACCACAUAGUGAUCAAAAGAACAGAAGCCAAAUUUAACCCAAAUAUCAAAAUCUUCUUCUUCUUCUUUUUCGGAUCAUCAUAAGUAUGUAGUGAACAUGUUAACACAUGAAAUUAAUAACAAGCACUCAAAUUCCAUUCCAUUCCAUCACAAAGAAGAAUAGUAACAUAAUUAAUUAAAAUGAAAGCAAUAGGGGAGCUUCGUGAAGUGUACCUGAAAGGUGUGGUCUGGGAUUGAAUUGUGAAGCAAAAACAAAUGGGGAAGCUUUAGAUGGAUAGAAGAGAAGAGAAACUGAGGUAAAGUCUUCCACCUUCUCAUCCUCCCUCUCGAACUGGAGACAAACGCUGGAGUAGCCGGAAAUGGUGUCGGAAAACUCGAAAACAACAGACGUGAUCGCCGACCCUGGCCGGUCCUUUUCCUAUCGGUUUCACGGUUGCCGUGGCUGGAGCACCAAGAUUGUCGGCCAACCUGGUUUCCGCAAAGGGAGAGAGACGAGAGAGAGAGCCCUAGAAUUUUUCAAAAAAACUAAUUUAAUACUAAAAGGGUAAAAAAAAAGUAUUUCAUUUAACUAAUUAAACUAAAAAAUGUAAUAGUUGUGAGUUUUGAGUUUUUUUUUUUGGGUGUGUUUAUAUACAUUAAAUGGUAUAUGGUUUCUUUAUAAAACUAUGUCUAGGAAUGGGUAUUUAACUAAUUUUAUAUUCUUUUUAUUGUUGUUGGAGUUGGAGAAUUACAAUGUUUUAGUUAAUUUCAUUAUUCUAUAUAUUUUGGUCACUGUAGACAAAGAAAUUUUGGUGCAAUAAAUUCCAUUGGACAAGAAAAUAAUUAGGGUUCGGUGGAUUAAAUCGUGGGCCUCGUAAUUCGCCCAUGUAGUGUGUGAUUCAUCAAAAUCGGAUUAGUUGUCAAAAAUGACACAUAGCGACAUCAGACGGAGUGCAUCAGACGGUUCAAGAUGAAGACAAAAUUAAAGGAAAGAAUCUUCUGUGAUUGACUUUGAUUUAAAUCAAAUAUUAAUCAGGUCAAUUAAUUGAAGAUAAUCUGGUUAAAUUGCCAGAUUAUGGGAAUUGAUUUAAAUCAAAUCAAAAUCCUACAAAACAAGGUUUUAAAUAGGGAAAGUUAUUUAGGUCAAGCAUCCUACAAUAGCCUAUAAAUAGGAAGCCUCAAGAAGAAAGAAUGGGUCAGAAAAACCUAUCAUUCAGAAGAAACAGAAAACUCUCUGCAUUCUUCACCCUACUUUGGAAGAGCCAUCAAGCACAACAAAUAGGUGCUGGUUCCUCCAAUCUAGAAAAAUCUCGAACACCAAACAAGCUUCGUGCUACCUUUUUGAUCAAGAUCAAGUCUCUACGACCCUUGUAUCAAACAGAAAUUUUCUUUAAACACUUUGGAGAUAGAAUCAGAGGAUUCAAUACAGAGAUUGUAACCCUAAAUUUCAUUAAUACAAAAUUAUUUUGUACACAUGUUCUUGUCUCAUUUGUCGCAGGAAAUUCGUGUUUACAGUUACUUUUGACUAAUUGAGCUGCCAGUCACUGUCCAAACAACAUCACACAUUUUUGUUUGCUAUCAUUAUACAUUUGAUACAAAAUGUCAAUUCCCAUCGUAUAUAAGAAUUUAAUAAAACUUGAUUUUAAUUGAUGCUUUAUAUACAAGUAAAUAAACUGGUGCUAUUCAGGGAUGGGUUCAGGAUUUUAAAUUGGGAUGGGCUAAAUUUACACUAGAGAGUGGAACAUAAAGGUGCAUCUAUUGCAGUGUACCAAUUCGUUCUUUUAUUUAUUUAAUUUUUUUUUUCACUUAAAGGGAUUAUGUGUGAAUAGGGUUAUCAGUGAAGAGAAAAUUAGCAAUAGAUUGUGCAUAAAAAAAAAAUAUAUAUAUAUAUAUAAAAGUUGGCAGUAGGCUAAAAAAGUAAUAACAAGAAGGUAAUACUUUUCAUUUUAGAGAGAACUUUAUAUAGAUGUCCUACACAAGAAUGUCCUGGAAUAGUCGAAGGGAAUUCAAUUCAUUAUUUUGUCUCAUCUUCUUUUCUUUGAGUGCAUUGUUGAAUGAACGCUGAACCUGCAAGUCUUUGGAUAUGAGUGUGACAUGAUUGUCAUUAGUAAGCAUGGGUGGGCUAAAUUAAAUUUAAGGUUGAUAAAAUAACAACUCACCUGUGCUAUAGCCCAGGUUAGUCCCUUCUAAGGACCGUCCUUGGUGCUUUGCGAAUGCGUUCCCACCACAGUGUUGGUGGAUUCUUUCCUCCAAUGUAACCCAAAAAAAAUGGUGCUCUUGUCCUUUGAGAGUUUCAAUGACCAUGCUCUCUGUAUAAAACCAACUUCCUUGGACAACAAAUGUAGGUAACCGUCUCAAUCUUGAAGAUGGUCUUAUUUGGAACUCCCAGCGGGAAAAUUCUAUAAUAUAUAUUUUUGGGUCAACAAAAAAUAUAUGCUCAUCCUUAUGUGAUGAAAAUCAAAAGGAGAUUGCCAACAGGGUCUAACUCAGUGAAAAAGGACUUUGACUUGCAUACCAAAGGUCUCAUGUUCGAAUUCCCAUGACGCCAGAGUUAUGUGUGUGUGAGAAAUCCCUCUCCCAUUUAGUUUAGACUAUCACUUGUACUAAAUUAAAAAAAAAAAGAAAAGAAAAAAAGAGAGAGAAUGAGUUGAGUUGACCUUGAAAUUCUACGUAAAUUUAGGUUUUAGCUAUAAAAAAACUUUCAUUUUGAAAAAAGCCAAAGCUUUUUAAAAAAAGACAGAAAAACCUCUCAACUUUCAAACUAAAGACAUGCAAAUAUAAAGGAUUUCUUAGGAAAUCUAAAAAUAAAUAAGGGCAAUUUUAUCAAUUUUAGCUUCUUUUAAAAAAUUUCUCUUUCCUUUGGCAUUUUCCAAAGUCUCCCGAAAUUCUAUGUAUUUAACAUCACACCGAAAAUUUUCAUCAAGCAAAGACAACUAAUCUAAAGCUAAAAUGUUAAUUAAUUAUAAUAAAACAUACUUGUCGUAUAAAAUAAUAUUGGUCAGUGUAUCUUAACAAGAAUUAAAAAAAAAAAGAAAAAAGAAAUUGCUAAGGGAAGACUAAAACAAGAUGGGGACUUGUGAAAGUUGUCUUAGAACCAACAUGUGAUGUUUCACUUUUAUUUAGUACCUAAACAGUAGUUUGAUUUAGGAGAUAAGCAUGAGAAGGGAGGAACUGCUAUAAUUAUAUUUAUAUAUUUUUCCAUUUCACAUAAACCAACUCCUUAAAAAUUCACGUACUCAAUCUUCACUCUUUCCAACGUUAAUUUGUUAAUUGUCAAUCACGCAUGGAUUUGACUUUAAUGUGUGGUCCUCGACUCUCCCAGAAACUUGAAAACACUUGAUGUCAAAACCUCAUUGGCUAUCCUAUGUGGUCUACAACUGUAAUAAUAUACAAAAGUGGCGGCUGGUUCAACGAGGCCUUCCCAGAAGGUUCAUUGCUAUGAAGAUGGAUCUUCCAGCUUCUGUUCUUUCGCAGAGUAUAAGCAUAUUCUCCUAUGUAUAUAUACACGUCCGGAGUCCAUUAAAGCUGUCUGGUAAUUAUGAUUUUCUUCAGGUGUGAGGUACUCUGCUAUAUUUCUUAGUUAUUCCAGAAGUUUCUGCAUUUUAUUCAAUUUUUGUUUGUUCAAUCAUUUUUCUGUUCAUAACAUAGACUAGUUUGCUGAUAUUGGGCAAAUCUGAAUCUUGCUAUCUGUUUGUGUUCUGGGUAUCUCUCACUCGUCCAAUUGGGUCAAGUUCUUAUUUGGUGAGUCUCAUCACUUGAGAUUCCAAUAUUCAUUUCAAUUUCCUUUCUAUUCCAAAAUUUCAUAUCACAGUCGGGUUUCUUGAAAAAGUAAAAAUCUCACCAGGUAAAUUGGUUGAUAGAUUGUUUUUAUGGAUACCCUUCUUGAAAGAUAUUCUUUCCAUGGAAAGAUUCAAUUUUGGGCAAGGCUCAGCUUCAUUCUAUUCUAAUCAGAAUCUGGUAAAUGGGUUCCAUCCAAGUAAAUCAAGAAUCCACAAGUCCAGUUUGCCUUUCAACCAAUUUGGACCACCUUAGUGAUUCAAAUACUUCUUUGAGCUCUGGUUCAGAUGGAGAUGCUAUUGACAUUAGUGAGUACAAUCAUCCUGUGAUUAAGUACAUAAGUGAUAUUCUAGAAGAAGACCUUGAGGGUAAGCCCUGCAUGUUGCAGGACUGUUUGGCCCUCCAAGCUGCUGAAAAAUCUUUCUAUGAUGUCCUUAAUCAGAAUGACCAUCCUUCACCCAAGCAACCCCCUCUUUCUGUGCACCAAAGCUUUGAGAACUCAGAUGAUGAUUCCCCACAUAGUUGUCAUAGCAGUAAUGGCUCUAUUGCUGUGAAGACAAACUGGGUUUUUGAUCGUUCAGAAGCUUCACAUGUCCAAUCUUCUCUUGUUCAGUCCCUAUCAGAUGCUGGUUUGGUUUCAGAUUCACUUUCUGAGAUGCAAAGUCUUGGGCAUUUUGGAGGGUUAGGGGAAGCAAGCAAGUUCCUUCCAAAUGUAAAACUGGAGGGGUACCGGUUAAUGCUUCCGGGUCUUGAUCAGUGGCCUUCAAGUACUAACAUACUGAUGACAACGCCAGACAAUGAUGGCUACAAGUCAACAAAUGGAUCAAAGGGAAAGAAAAAUAAUCAAAGGGAGGAUGCUGAUUAUCCAGAAGAAGGCAGAAGCAACAAGCAGCCAGUUGCUUUUGCUGAUGACUCGGAGCCGCAAGAAAUGUUUGAUGAGGUAUUACUUUGUCAUGGGAAUCAUGAGUUUGAGUCGUGUUCUCCUGAUGAAUCUUUGAUAACUGUGGGAAGUGGGAAGUUGCAGCGCAACAAGCAAAAAGGAUCUAAAACAGCGCGUUCAAAGAAACAGAAUAACAACUGGGAACUAGUAGAUUUGAGCACACUGUUAACUCAAUGUGCACAAGCUGUGGCAAGCUAUGACCAAAGAACUGCAAGUGAACUACUCAAGCAGAUAAGGCAGCAUUCUUCCCCCUAUGGUGAUGCUAACCAGAGAUUAGCUCAUUACUUUGCGGAUGGCCUAGAGGCACGCUUGGCUGGAGCCAGAACUCCAUCAUACUCUUUCCUUGUUAGUAUGCAGAUAUCAGCUGCUGAAAUCUUAAAAGCUUAUGAGGUAUUUGUUACUUCAUCCCCUUUCAAGACGGUGUCACAUUUCUUGGCGAACAAAACAAUUCUGAAACUAGCAGAAAAAGCAACUAGGCUUCAUGUUAUUGAUUUUGGCAUUUCUUAUGGUUUCCAAUGGCCCUGCUUUAUCCAACAUCUCUCCAAGAGACCGGGUGGACCUCCUAAGCUUCGUAUCACAGCAAUUGAGCUUCCCCAACCAGGUUUCCGACCUACAGAAAGGGUUGAAGAGACGGGGCGUCGCCUGAAAAAAUAUGCUGAGAGAUUUAAUGUCCCAUUUGAGUACAAUGUCAUUGCUCAGAAGUGGGAAACAAUCCAAUUUGAGGAUCUUAAAAUUGACAGAAAUGAGGUGAUUGUGGUCAAUUGUAUGAACCGACUAAAGCACAUACCUGAUGAGACAGUGAUGGUGAACAGCCCAAGAGACAUUGUCCUAAAGUUGAUCAAGAAAAUUAAUCCAAACCUAUUCAUUCAUGGGGUUGUCAAUGGGACAUACAAUUCACCCUUCUUUGUCACACGGUUCAGAGAGGCACUCUUCCACUUCUCUGCACUGUUUGAUGUGUUUGAGGC